GAUGAACGCUGGCGGCGUGCCUAAUACAUGCAAGUCGAGCGAACAGACGAGGAGCUUGCUCCUCUGACGUUAGCGGCGGACGGGUGAGUAACACGUGGAUAACCUACCUAUAAGACUGGGAUAACUUCGGGAAACCGGAUCUAAUACCGGAUAAUAUAUUGAACCGCAUGGUUCAAUAGUGAAAGACGGUUUUGCUGUCACUUAUAGAUGGAUCCGCGCCGCAUUAGCUAGUUGGUAAGGUAACGGCUUACCAAGGCGACGAUGCGUAGCCGACCUGAGAGGGUGAUCGGCCACACUGGAACUGAGACACGGUCCAGACUCCUACGGGAGGCAGCAGUAGGGAAUCUUCCGCAAUGGGCGAAAGCCUGACGGAGCAACGCCGCGUGAGUGAUGAAGGUCUUCGGAUCGUAAAACUCUGUUAUUAGGGAAGAACAAAUGUGUAAGUAACUAUGCACGUCUUGACGGUACCUAUUCAGAAAGCCACGGCUAACUACGUG
rnacentral:rRNA from 1 species